CUCUCAGUGGCCAAGCUGGCUAAGGCGCGAGACUGUAAAAAUCUUGAGAUCGGGUGUUCGACUCACCCCUGGGAGA
rnacentral:tRNA from 1 species